rnacentral:rRNA from 1 species
AAGCAUGGGCGAAGCCUGAUGCAGCAACGCCGCGUGAGCGAUGAAGGCCUUCGGGUCGUAAAGCUCUGUCCUCAAGGAAGAUAAUGACGGUACUUGAGGAGGAAGCCCCGGCUAACUACGUGCCAGCAGCCGCGGUAAUACGA